rnacentral:rRNA from 1 species
AGUGAACGCUGGCGGUAGGCCUAACACAUGCAAGUCGAACGGCAGCACAGUAAGAGCUUGCUCUUACGGGUGGCGAGUGGCGGACGGGUGAGGAAUACAUCGGAAUCUACUUUUUCGUGGGGGAUAACGUAGGGAAACUUACGCUAAUACCGCAUACGACCUACGGGUGAAAGCAGGGGAUCUUCGGACCUUGCGCGAUUGAAUGAGCCGAUGUCGGAUUAGCUAGUUGGCGGGGUAAAGGCCCACCAAGGCGACGAUCCGCAGCUGGUCUGAGAGGAUGAUCAGCCACACUGGAACUGAGACACGGUCCAGACUCCUACGGGAGGCAGCAGUGGGGAAUAUUGGACAAUGGGCGCAAGCCUGAUCCAGCCAUACCGCGUGGGUGAAGAAGGCCUUCGGGUUGUAAAGCCCUCUUGUUGGGAAAGAAAAGCAGCAGGUUAAUACCCCGCUGUUCUGACGGUACCCAAAGAAUAAGCACCGGCUAACUUCGUG